ensembl:lncRNA OGFRP1 opioid growth factor receptor pseudogene 1
UGCCCUCCGCCCCCAACAGGCGAGAAGCAGCCGCGUCCACAUGGCUUCAGGUGUUCACAUGGCAGUAAACGGGCCCCUGCUCUCCUGGGCGCCCCAGCGCGGCGCCCUCCCGCCCACAUCCCGGCCCAGCCCCGCUGGCCUCGCCUCCAGCCCGUAGCCAAGAGGCGAGCGCGGCCGGUGCCCCCGGGGCUGCCAGGGGCCCCGAAGCAGGCGGCGCUGACUCCCGGACGCCGCCCGCUCACACCCGCCGCCUUUGCACCCAAGGCCUCGCGCGACCAGCAGGUCACUGAUUCUACUACCAUCUGUCAGCGUGGAUUGAUUGAGGAGACUGGCCCUGCUCGGCAGAUCAGUGACUUGUGCGAAGUGAGCCAGGGUGUCGGUGCCUUCAGAGCAGGCGGAUGUCCUUCCUCACUUGCCAGCUCUCGUGAGCAGACACACAGCCCUCACCUUUAUCCUUCACCAAGCUCCAGCUCUCCUUCCUCUUGGGAGGCGCCGCCUGCUAACUCAGUCACACCAAGAGGGAGGCCUGGAAUUCCUGCUCACAAGCUCGGGGCUUCAUCUGCAGUCUGCCAGGAGGCAACUUACAAAAGCCUCUGGCUAACAGAGCGGGAAACUCCCCACAGCCUCCUGCUGUGCCUGUCCCCAAGCCACGCACUGUCCCCUUGCAAAGCACAAGGAUACUGAGAGUGCACAAACAGCAGGGGUGGAGAGCCUCUGUGGGCACGCCCUCAUUCUGUGCCCUCAUUCCACAGGAGCCCCUGCUUUGUGCAAGUCUCUGAGCCCGCAUGGAGGGAGCAUGGGGGCUCAGAACAGUUCUUUCUGGGGCAAGGUCAGGGGAGGCUCUAAAGUUAUGGUGGUGGGGAGGGCCUUAAAACAGAGGACCAGAGAAUACCAAGACUUAGGGGUGUGGGGGAGAGCCACCUGCUGUGCCCAGGAGGACUGUGCCCAGUGCAGGGGAAAAAGAUGAAGCUGCGGAGUUGGGCAAGGGUGGGAUCCUGCAGGGCCUUAGAGCAUUGACAUGUUUGGCAUGGAUUUGUUUCACAGGGUCCCACAGAAACUUCUGCUCUCCAGGUUUGCCCCUCCACUCUGCCCUCCAGGAUAGAAGUGUGGCAUCCUAAUCUGGGAUGCAUCCAUCUCUCCCCCUGGACUGUGAGCAUAUGCAGGGCAGAGACACCUCUGCUUCUCUUGGGUCUCCGGCAUCCUGUGCAGGGUAGGGCACCAUGUCCAUUAAAAUGAUGUUAAUGAGGAUGAUACAGCCCAGAGGAAUCCAGGCUUACUAUGAACCAGGCACUAUGCAGAUUUCCCUUUAUCAUCCCAGUUCUUCUUAUUUGCAGCAGUCUAAUGAGUUUGGUACUGUUAUCACCCCUAUUUUACAGAUGGGGCCACUGAGGUGCAAAGAGUUUAACUUAUCCCAAGUCACACAGUUUGGAAGAGGCUGAGCUGGUAUUUGAACCCAGGUUUUCAGAGGCUGCACUCUUAACCACCAAGCUUCCCAGCACUCAGCAAACACUGGAAAGACAGAGAUGGACCUAGACAGUCAGUAGGACCAAAAGUCUGCAGGCCGAUAGGGAAAGAAUGUAAGAGGACGGCAUGGGCAGCGCCAGCCCCUCCAGCAGUCAUAUAUUAAGCCCUGGACACUGGGCAGCUCGGGCAGGUCGGGGGGCCUCAGACUCUCGGACCCCAUGCCUGGAAGACCACGGUCUGCCCAACAAGCAGCAGCUGCUGUGAAUCGACUUACACAUCUUCCCCACAGGUGAGCAGAGAGCUAACACCUGAGGAUAGGCCAAGAAACGGGAAGCCCGUGCAACCUGAGCGCACAGAUCACCCCCACCUGCCCGGCACUCACUGUCCCCAGUGGCUGGACUCUCAUCGGGCCAGUCACUGAGCUGGCGCCAGCCUGGUCUCACCAGUGUGUGUCUUUAAAUCAUCCAAUUUCUUCAGCUGUAAAUUGGGCUGGGAGGGGCCAGGUGAGCUGCCUGCCUCAGGGGAGUCGGCGCCCUUACCUGAGUGAUCCCAUUCACUCCUCACAACAAACCCAUGAGGCAGGGAUUGUCAUCUUCAUUGUACAGAGCAGGAAAUGGGUGCACACAGAGGUUAAGAGACUUGCCCAGGUCACACAGCUAGGAAGAGGCUGUGAUUUGAACUCAGUCUUCUGGCUCCAAAGCCCCCACAGAGUCACUCAGGGCACUACAAAGAGUUAACCUGAAUAUGAAAUGAUCUAAGAGUCGCAGUGACAAAGGCAUGCUCUAAGCGCUUUUCCUGCAGUAACUUGCUUAAUCCUUACAACAACCCUAUAAAGUGGGUACUGUUCUCGCCUCAUUUUGCAGAUGAGGAAACUGAGGCACAGAGCAGCUCGGAGGGGGCAGAGCUGAAUCUGACAGGCUACAGGGCCCCUGCGUUGCUUUGUUAUAAGAUGACAAUAAGGAAGUUCCUUUCCUUUGGGAUUAUUUCUGCCUGAAAGCUCAAGACUUUUAGCCACAUCAUUGUCUGGGCUCCACGGGAAGGCAGUGCCACAUGCUGAGGCAUGCUGGGAAAAGACUUUGUUCCAUCCUGUUUUGUUGACAUGCUCUUCAUUUUUAAGCCUGAAACCGAAGCUUCCUGCUAAGAAUUCAAACCAUGGAGAAAAACGCAGCCAUGAUAACGGCCACUACUUCCUGAGCCUCCAGUGUUCCCUGUGCUUGGGGAUCCAUAUAUGUCACUUAACCUUAACCUUCACAACACCAGGGCAGCCUCCAUUUUCACAAGUGAAGAAAUGGAGGCCCAGAGUCACUUAGAAGAUGCUCGAAGGUGCACAGCUGCUAAGUGGUGGUGCUGGGAUUUGUCCUCAGGUCCUCAAGAGUCCUGACUCUUAUGUGCUGGCUCCCCACGGAGGCGUGGAGUCUUGUUUGCUGGGCAUUUGACAGAAAUGUUUCUGCUCAUCUUCUGCCACAGGUUGGUCCUUCAGCGUCAAGAUUCCUGGGCCACUUAUUAAUAGAAGGCACCAGGACACAGGUGCAGGGAUGCAGAGCUGGAUGCUGCCUUCUCAAUAGGAGAAGCCAAGAAACGCAGAUGCCGAUGCUUAAUCAACUCCGUCUCUCCCUCUAGUGACUCGGGGAUAGCUGCCCUGAUGCCAAGGCGAUUGUCUUCUGGAAGCAGCCACGCCGUGUGAGGUUCCUCAUCACUGCCCUGCAUCUCCCUGCGAGCUCUCGGGGAUAAUUGCAAAAUCACGUUUGAUUCCAGGGGAGCAGAAAGCAGCAGGAGCCGUGAAUUCUCCAACUCUUAACUGGUCCUCGACUGGAGCCACUUUUCCCUGCCCACCCAUCCCUGUGGCGGAUUCAUUACAGUUAUCCAAAGCCGGUUUUAACUUUGCUCCCCCUGGCUCAGAAGUCUGUCAGUGGGUCCUGAGCGGCUUCACCAUUCAAGUUUAUUCCUAUCAGCCUGGAAUACAAUGCUCUAUCUGGCUCCGCUUGCUUCUCCAAACCUUCUCUCCCAGGUCUCAUUCUGCCUCUCUGUCUAACUAGACAAGUUGGCUUCCUGUCCUGUGCCUGUCUGCUCCCUGCAGCAGGAAUGCCGUUCCCUCUUCCCUACAGAUUGAAAUUAUAUCCUCUUUCAAGUCUUACUCAAAUGCCACCUCCUCCACAAACUCUUAACACUUAUUCAUUCAUUCAACAAACAUUGACUGAGCCCUUAUGACAAGCAUUGAUCCCAAGGGUCCCUGUGGUCAUGAAGUUUAUGGUGCCAUGGAGCUGUUAGAAAAAGAAUCAUCACAUAAAUAAUCAUCUGAUAACAGCCAUGAUACAAAUUAGUAAGAAAGUGUGGCAGGAGCACAGCAGAUGUACAAUAGGGACCCUGAGCCUUGGGGAUCUAGGACAUUUGAGCUGAGGCCUGAAAGACAAGUAGGAAGUAACCACAUGGUGAAGUUGGAGGAGAGCUCCAGGCAGAGGGCACGGCAUGGGCAAAGGCCCUGCGGUAGGAGGGAACAAGUAGAUUUCCAGGAAGGGCACAGGGGCCUGCAGGGUAAUGUAAGUGAAAUGAGAAAGCUGGAGAUGCAGCUGGAGCAGGACAGUACAGGCCACAGAGGCUUUGCGACUUUAUCCCUGGGCAAAAAGAGGAGAUGAUGAAGGAUUCUGAGCACAGGACACAAGCCAGUAUGUAUUUAGACGCGAUCCUGCCCUGUGGCUGAGCCUCUUCUGAGAAGUGCAGGCCCUGUGUCACGUCACCCUGAACCUCAGUCAUCAGGGUUUUGGAUGUGAGUUUCCAUAUCCCUCUUCCUAGGCCAAGCUCUCAAAGGCAAGGCUGACCUCUGGUCUUCAGCUUCAUCCUCAUCAGCCAGGCCAGUGCCCAGCACAAGGAGCUGCUCCAAAAACAUACGUGGGUUGAACCAGUGACCAGGACAAGACGCUUAUCAGCAUUUCCCUGCGAAGGAGCAGGGCUGCCUGUAAAGCCUUCCACAUUCUCUAGAAAUUACAAAGUUCAAGGGUUUUAGUGAGGCCACGACUCAGGGAGCCCUUGAGAGCCAAGCUGGCAUCCCACUGCUGUGCACACCCAGCCUGGGCACACAGUAUGACCCUGCCCAGGCAUCUGCCUGCGGCCGUCUGGUGAAUGACCAGAAACAGAACCGAAAGCUCUGUAAAGUGCUCUCAAGGUUACAAAGCAUGUUUCACAGGAGCAGUUUCAUCUCACACGGGCAGCCCUCUGAGCUGGGUAGUUACUGCUUUACAGAUGAGGAAACUGAGGCCCGGGAGAGGGCGGGACCUCAGCAAAUCAAGAAAAAACUGAGACUAGGACCUAACGGAAGUCCAGGCUAUGAAUGGCCCCCGUAGGGUUAAAAGAGCUUUCUAGAAAUUUCUUUGAAAACUAUUGUAAAGUGACAUAUUUCCUCAGGAUGUCUGUCACGCCAGCAGUGGGAGCCAACACACCAACUCUCAGAGGCUGUUCCCCCUGCGCGGCAGAUCCAGACGCUCAGCUCCCAGGCCUGGAGGCUGGCGGCUUAGCCCAGGGCACAGGAGGAGGCUGCCUGGGUUUGGCGCUGACUUACAGCAGGUGCUGAGGGAAUGCUGAGGAGAGGCAAGGCUGAUUCAAGAGGCCGACAACAGAGAACAUUCCUAGAGCUCUCCCGCCAGCUAGGCAUGGUGCUAAGUGCAUUACCUGCGUCCACUCGUAACAUCCUCACAACACUGUGAAUACGAUGACCAUCCCCAUGUACAGGCGUGGACGCUAAGGCUCAGAGCAAUAAAUAAUUAGCCUGAGAUCACACGGCAGGUGAGUGCAGAGGCCGGAUCUGAACCCACACAUUGCCCUUAAGCAACCCCAUGUCCUGAGCAAAGGUGAGCAGAAACAUCUUGGGAAGAGGGAACCACGACUGUAUCUUCCUCAGCAGACAUGAUGGUGCAGGGUACCCCUUCCCCUGCCCACCUGACGACCAUUAUUCCCAUUAUCAGUAUAUCCCUCUGUGGGCAAAUGAUGACAGACAUGCAUGGUAACCACUUCUUCACAAGUUUUGUGUCUCCCCAGCCUCCUCCCCUAGGGCUCUCUAGGCUUCCUUUACCCGUCCUGCCUCAGAUGGACUCCCAGCAUCAUCAUCUGCCUCUGUGCCUUCUUGGUAGUAGGUGGGUGUGAAAAAGAAAGGAAGGGCCAGGUGCAGUGGCUCAUACCUGUAGUCCCAGCACUUUGGGAGGCUGAGGCGGGCGGAUCACCUGAGGUCAGGAGUUCGAAACCAGCCUGGCCAACAUGGUGAAACCCUAUCUCUGGUGGCAGGUGCCUGUAAUCCCAGCUACUUGGAAGGCUGAGGCUGGAGAAUCACUUGAACCUGGGAGGCAGAGGUUGCAGUGAGCAGAGAUUGCGCCACUGCACUCCAGUCUGGGCAACAGAGCGACUCCCUCUCAAUAAAUAAAAUAAAAUAAGGAAGGACAGAGGGCAAUGUGACCUUCGGCAAGCUCCCUAA